rnacentral:lncRNA from 1 species
GUGUACGUCAGGUGGAUCAGAGAGAUACAGUCAUGAGGGUCAGGUGUGGUAUCCAGAAUAACGUGGGAGGCCGGAUUGAAGUCUGAGCCAGGAACAAGGGUAAUUGUGGGAGACUCAAAAAAGAGUGAGUACAGCUGAAGGAGCUGGGGAGCAGAAAGUAUAUGUGUCAGUUUUUAUGAGAAUUAUGCCGAGAUGGGUAACAGAUGAGGAUGAAAUUUGGGCUUGACUGAAGUAAUGGGGGCUGUCUGUGAAGGCUUGCGGCAGUACAGCCCAGGUAAUUUGCUGAGCCUAAUGGGUGUCAGGGUCAGUCCAAGUGAAAGCGAAGAGAGGCUGGGAUGUAGGGUGCAAAGGAAUAGUAAAGAAAGCAUGUUUGAGAUCCAGAACAGAAUAAUGGGUUGUGGAGGGAGUAGAGGUAUCUUAUACUUGUGGGUAAGGUGGGGGGAUAUGAGAGGAGGAUGCGAAGGAGGCUUUGAACUGGGGAAAA